rnacentral:rRNA from 1 species
UACGUAGGGUGCAAGCGUUGUCCGGAAUUAUUGGGCGUAAAGAGCUCGUAGGCGGCUUGUCGCGUCGGCUGUGAAAACCUGGGGCUCAACCCCGGGCCUGCAGCCGAUACGGGCAAGCUAGAAUUCGGUAGGGGAGGACUGGAAUUCCUGGUGUAGCGGUGAAAUGCGCAGAUAUCAGGAGGAACACCGGUGGCGAAGGCGGGUCUCUGGGCCGAAAUUGACGCUGAGGAGCGAAAAGCGUGGGGGAGCAAACAGG